rnacentral:rRNA from 3 species
UACUUAGUGGCAGACGGGUGAGUAACAUGUAGGUAUCUGCCCUUUGGCCUGGAAUAACACGAGGAAACUUGUGCUAAUACCGGAUAAGUCUUUACGGAGAAAGCUUUAUGCACCAUUGGAUGAGCCUGCACUUGAUUAGUUUGUUGGUGGGGUAAUGGCCUACCAAGACUGUGAUCAAUAGCUGAUUUGAGAGGAUGAUCAGCCACAUUGGGACUGAGACACGGCCCAAACUCCUACGGGAGGCAGCAGUGGGGAAUCUUGCACAAUGGAGGAAACUCUGAUGCAGCGAUGCCGCGUGAGUGAAGAAGGCCCUUGGGUUGUAAAGCUCUUUCGUCGGGGAAGAAAAUGACUGUACCCGAAUAAGAAGGUCCGGCUAACUUCGUGCCAGCAGCCGCGGUAAUACGAAGGGACCUAGCGUAGUUCGGAAUUACUGGGCUUAAAGAGUUCGUAGGUGGUUGAAAAAGUUAGUGGUGAAAUCCCAGAGCUUAACUCUGGAACUGCCAUUAAAACUUUUCAGCUAGAGUAUGAUAGAGGAAAGCAGAAUUUCUAGUGUAGAGGUGAAAUUCGUAGAUAUUAGAAAGAAUACCAAUUGCGAAGGCAGCUUUCUGGAUCAUUACUGACACUGAGGAACGAAAGCAUGGGUAGCGAAGAGGAUUAGAUACCCUCGUAGUCCAUGCCGUAAACGAUGUGUGUUAGACG